rfam:Salmo salar isolate Sally breed double haploid chromosome ssa08, whole genome shotgun sequence.
UGGCUCAGUUGAUAGAGCAUGGUGUUUGCAACGCCAGGGUUGUGGGUUUGAUUCCCAC